GGCCCGGUAGCUCAGCUGGAUAGAGCAACUGCCUUCUAAGCAGUAGGUCAUUGGUUCGAAUCCAAUCCGGGUCACAA
rnacentral:tRNA from 1 species